rnacentral:rRNA from 1 species
UACAGUGAUGAGCAUAAGGGCUAUCGUUGUUGGGAUCCUGUCGGUCGUCGGAUGCGUAUCUCUCGAGACGUGACUUUUGAUGAGUCUCGUCCUUUUUACCCACGCCCAUCUUCCUCGUUUUUUUCAGUGGAGGAUAUCUCUUUCCUUACUUUUCCUGACUCCCCUAUCACUCCCGUCGCGCCUGUGCCUAUUCGUUCCACUCCCUCUGCUUCUCCACCCCUCGUCGAUUCGCCGCCACCAUCUUCCCCGGUCUCCUCACCUAGCAUGUCACCGGAUUCUACACCUUCAUCUCCGGUGACUUCUUCGUCGCCACCCCCUGAUUCUACCUUGGUGAUUCCUCCUUCUCUUGUUCCAUCUCUUCCUCAGCAUUACACUCGUCGUUCACGACCUGUGGAUGCUUCCUUGGAUGAGUCGUCCUCUUCCUCUCAGCCUACUUAUGGCUUGCGUUCUCGUCCUCGUCCGCUUAUUGAUCGCUUUGGAUUUCCCACCACUGGUGCUGCUGUUCUUGAGCCGACUUCUUACCGUCAGGCUGUUGUUCAUCCUGAAUGGCAGUUUGCGAUGGCAGAGGAGAUUGCUGCUCUUGAACGCACUGGUACCUGGGAUCUUGUUUCUCUUCCUCCCGGAGCCCGUCCCAUCACUUGUAAGUGGGUCUACAAGGUUAAGACUCGCUCCGAUGGUUCUCUUGAGCGUCACAAAGCUCGUCUCGUGGCUCGUGGUUUUCAGCAGGAGCAUGGUCGUGAUUAUGACGAGACUUUUGCUCCUGUGGCCCAUAUGACCACUAUUCGUACACUUCUUGUCGUUGCCUUUGCACGCCACUGGUCUAUAUCUCAGCUUGAUGUUAAGAAUGCCUUUCUUAAUGGUGAGCUGCGUGAGGAGGUGUACAUGCAGCCACCACCUGGGUAUUCUGUUCCUGAUGGCAUGGUGUGUCGUCUUCGUCGCUCUCUCUAUGGCCUUAAGCAA